rnacentral:rRNA from 1 species
GAUGAACGCUGGCGGCGUGCCUAAUACAUGCAAGUCGAGCGAACGGACGAGAAGCUUGCUUCUCUGAUGUUAGCGGCGGACGGGUGAGUAACACGUGGAUAACCUACCUAUAAGACUGGGAUAACUUCGGGAAACCGGAGCUAAUACCGGAUAAUAUUUUGAACCGCAUGGUUCAAAAGUGAAAGACGGUCUUGCUGUCACUUAUAGAUGGAUCCGCGCUGCAUUAGCUAGUUGGUAAGGUAACGGCUUACCAAGGCAACGAUGCAUAGCCGACCUGAGAGGGUGAUCGGCCACACUGGAACUGAGACACGGUCCAGACUCCUACGGGAGGCAGCAGUAGGGAAUCGUCCGCAAUGGGCGAAAGCCUGACGGGGCAACGCCGCGUGAGUGAUGAAGGUCUUCGGAUCGUAAAACUCUGUUAUUAGGGAAGAACAUAUGUGUAAGUAACUGUGCACAUCUUGACGGUACCUAAUCAGAAAGCCACGGCUAACUACGUG